rnacentral:rRNA from 1 species
CCUACGGGGGGCAGCAGUGGGGAAUAUUGCACAAUGGGCGCAAGCCUGAUGCAGCCAUGCCGCGUGUAUGAAGAAGGCCUUCGGGUUGUAAAGUACUUUCAGCGGGGAGGAAGGCGAUAAGGUUAAUAACCUUGUCGAUUGACGUUACCCGCAGAAGAAGCACCGGCUAACUCCGUGCCAGCAGCCGCGGUAAUACGGAGGGUGUAAGCGUUAAUCGGAAUUACUGGGCGUAAAGCGCACGCAGGCGGUCUGUCAAGUCAGAUGUGAAAUCCCCGGGCUCAACCUGGGAACUGCAUCUGAUACUGGCAAGCUUGAGUCUCGUAGAGGGGGGUAGAAUUCCAGGUGUAGCGGUGAAAUGCGUAGAGAUCUGGAGGAAUACCGGUGGCGAAGGCGGCCCCCUGGACGAAGACUGACGCUCAGGUGCGAAAGCGUGGGGAGCAAACAGGAUUAGAUACCCGGUAGUC